rnacentral:rRNA from 1 species
AUUGAACGCUGGCGGCAGGCUUAACACAUGCAAGUCGAGCGAGCGGCGGACGGGUGAGUAAUUUCUGGGAAACUGCCUGAUGGAGGGGGAUAACUACUGGAAACGGUAGCUAAUACCGCAUACCAUCAGAUGUGCCCUGAUGGGAUUAGCUAGUAGGUGGGGUAAAGGGUAACCUAGGCGUCGAUCCCUAGCUGGUCUGAGAGGAGGACCAGCCACACGGGAACUUAGAUCGGGUCCAGACUCCUGCGGGAGGCAGCAGUGGGGAAUAUUGCACAAUGGUCGCAAGCCUGAUGCAGCAAGGCCGCGUGUGUGAAGAAGGCCUUCGGGUUGUAAAGCACUUUCAUCGAGUAGGCGUUACUCGCAGAGAAAGCACCGGCUAACUCCGUGCCAGCAGCCGCGGUAAUUC